CUUGAAAUUAAAAAAAAUGGCGGUAUUUUAGUCUAUCUAGAGGAACCUGUUCUAUGAUCGAUAGUCCACGUUUUUAUUAACUUAUUUUUUAAAUUUGCAUAUCGCCGUAGAUUGAAUAUUUUUUUAGAGUAUUAAUGUUCAAGAUUUUUAUUAAAAUUAUAUCAGGUCAAGGUGUAGUUUAUGAAUAAGGAGAAAUGGGUUACAAUAAAAAUAUUUAAACGGAUUAAUUUUUGUAAUGGAUUUUUAAAGGAGGAUUUGAAAGUAAUUUUAAAUGUUUUUUAAGAUGAUUUAAGCUCUAAGAUAUGUACAUAUCGCCCGUCGCUUUCACUUUAAGGUGGAAUAAGUCGUAACAUAGUAGGUGUACUGGAAAGUGUCUCUAGAAAGACGAAUUAAAGCUUUUAUAUAGCAUUUUAUUUACAUUAAAAAGAUUAUUAAUAGAUUGAUAUUAUUCGAAGUGAAUGGAUUAUUUAUUAUAAAGAAUUUAUUUUAGAUUAAAGAAAGUAAUUUUUAUUUUAUUAAUUUUGUAUGAAUAAAGGUAGUAUGUGCAGAUAUAUGUGUAUAUAUUGUAAUUAUAGAGUAUUAGUAUUGUAUAAGAAAUUUAUUAAUUAUGAAUAAGAAGAGUUAGGGUUUUGUACCUUGUGUAUCAGGGUUUAUUAAUUAAGUUUUAUUUAUAUUAGAUUUCUCGAAUUUAAAAGAGUUAUAAGUAUAUAGUUUUUAUUGUGGCAUAAAUAUUAUUAAUAUAUUUAUAGAAGUGAAAUGCUAUUCGAUUUUAAAUAUAUCUAGUUUUUUAAGAAAAGAUUUUAAAUUUAUUUUUAUUUUAUUAUGAGUUUAAAUUUUUAAUUUUAUAAUAGUGAAAUUUUUAUAUUUUAUGGGAUGAGCUUUAAAAUAUAUUUAUAAAAUAUAGUGUAUAAGGUUUAUUAAGUAGGAUUAUAAGUUUUUAUCUUUAUAAGUGUUUUAUAACUAUGUAAAUAGUUUUUAAAAUUUAUAUAUAAAUAUUUAUAUGUUUUAUUAAAAUAUAAUUUUUAAUAAAAAAAAGUUAGAAAAAAUGAUGAAAUUAGUAUAAAUUUAAGUACUGCUAUAAUUUAUAUUUAAGGUUAAGUAAAGUAAUUCGGCAAAAGUAUUUUUCACCUGUUUAUUAAAAACAUGGCCUAUUGAUUAUGAUUUUAGGUCUGACCUGCCCAAUGAUGAAAAUUUAAUGGCCGCGGUAUUUUGACCGUGCAAAGGUAGCAUAAUCAUUAGUUUUUUAAUUGAAAGCUUGUAUGAAGGGUUUGAUGAAAAAAUAUCUGUCUCUAUUUAAAUUUAUUAGAAGUUUAUUUUUAAGUAAAAAAGCUUAAAUAUUUACAGAAGACGAGAAGACCCUAUAGAGUUUGAUAAUUAUAUAAUUAAAUAAUAUUUUAGAAUUUUA
rnacentral:rRNA from 1 species